rnacentral:rRNA from 1 species
GACGAACGCUGGCGGCGUGCCUAAUACAUGCAAGUUGAGCGCUGAAGGUUGGUACUUGUACCAACUGGAUGAGCAGCGAACGGGUGAGUAACGCGUGGGGAAUCUGCCUUUGAGCGGGGGACAACAUUUGGAAACGAAUGCUAAUACCGCAUAAAAACUUUAAACACAAGUUUUAAGUUUGAAAGAUGCAAUUGCAUCACUCAAAGAUGAUCCCGCGUUGUAUUAGCUAGUUGGUGAGGUAAAGGCCCACCAAGGCGAUGAUACAUAGCCGACCUGAGAGGGUGAUCGGCCACAUUGGGACUGAGACACGGCCCAAACUCCUACGGGAGGCAGCAGUAGGGAAUCUUCGGCAAUGGACGAAAGUCUGACCGAGCAACGCCGCGUGAGUGAAGAAGGUUUUCGGAUCGUAAAACUCUGUUGGUAGAGAAGAACGUUGGUGAGAGUGGAAAGCUCAUCAAGUGACGGUAACUACCCAGAAAGGGACGGCCAACUACGUG